AGUAUAUUGAACAUAGAAAACCUUUCUUAAAUUACUCACGGUCUUUAAAUUUUAUGAUUAAUGCUUACGGCAAUAAUGAGGAAUACUCUUUAGUGGUGUAAAUGUAUACAAUGGUGUAAAUGUAUACAAUGGUGGAAAAGCUAAUCAAAAUAAAAAUACUUUUAUGAAAGAAAUCCUUAAACGGCGAUUUCAUGACAAAUGCUUCUUUUCUCUUCAAUAUUUACAUGUCCCAAAGGCGUAAACUCAAGUAAGCUCUGGUUAUUAAGCAUAUUGAGAAAGGUUGCGUUUAAACGAUCAACAGAAAUCAGACCGCAUUCUAACCAUAGUCCUCUGCUAUAAAUAACUGUUUGAGAGAUUGAAACUUGGUCGAACCAAUGAUUUGUGAACAAAGCAGUGCAGCUUAAAGCAAUCCCCAUUAAAACUAAUCCAAGUGAAACAGUUUGAUAGGUAAUAUUUGCAUCGGCCUUCAUUGUAUGAGCAAUACUUGUUUGAGAAAAUAACUAGAUCAACUAAACAAUACCAAAAACUAAUCUAAGUGUUUGCUUAAAACACGUUUUACGUCGUAGUUGUCGGUUUAUUGCCGGUUGUCGGGUCAAUGUUGUUAAUAUUAUACUUCCGGGAAACUCAUAAAUGUAAAUCCGAAAGAUCAAAGUUUCUAGUUAUUAUGUUUUGUUGAUAUUAGGUUUUUAAAAAAGCAUUAAAUUGUCAAACCUUUAAACAUUAAAAAAUCAACAAUACUUUCGAAAAUAUAUUUCAGGUUGU